ensembl:lncRNA
AUGAAGCUGAAGCAGCUGAAAAUGUUUUGCUGUCAGAACGUUCUGAGAGGCUCAGCUCGAACGAAGAAGGCAGGGACAAAAGGUGGAUUUUGUAGAGUUGAGAGAAUUGAGGUCAACACAAGGUCAUUUCACAGAGAUAAAUUGUCCUACCGUCUCGAUUUCCAGAACCUUGGCAAUAACGGCCUCCGACCAGCGAGCCUGAAAGGCUUCCUCCGGUGUCAGCUUCACGCCGGCAGCCGGNNNNNNNNNNCGCCCCCUCGGUCUCCGCGCCGGCAGCCGGCGCCCCCUCGGUCUCCGCGCCGGCAGCCGGCGCCCCCUCGGUCUCCGUGCCGGCAGCCGGCGCCUCCUCGGUCUCCGCGCCGGCAGCCGCCGUCUCCACGCCGGCAGCCACCGCCUCCUCAGUCUCCACGCCGGCAGCCACCGCCUCCUCAGUCUCAACGCCUGCAGCCACCGCCUCCUCAGUCUCGACGCCUGCAGCCACCGCCUCCUCAGUCUCGACGCCUGCANNNNNNNNNNGCCACCGCCUCCUCAGUCUCGACGCCUGCCGCCACCGCCUCCUCAGUCUCGACGCCUGCCGCCACCGCCUCCUCAGUCUCGACGCCUGCCGCCACCGCCUCCUCAGUCUCGACGCCUGCAGCCACUGCCUCCUCAGUCUCGACGCCGGCACCCACCGCCUCAUCAGUCUCAACGCCGGCAGCCACCGCCUCCUCAGUCUCCGCUACAGAAGCUUUUUCCUGGUGGGUCAAAGGUUAAAAAAAGGUUAGAACAGAGGUCACUGGUUCUGAUUUCAAAGUGUUGAAGUUUCGGUGCAUGUGCAAGCUCGCUAUGCAUGACAACGGAAAAAAUAUAAGACACGCCGUAUGCCGCAGAUCCCUCUGAUUAAAGGACCCGUACAGUCAAAGAUCAAAGUCAAUGCCCACAUGACACAUGUGUUAUUUCAGUCUUUACUGUAGCUUACUGGUAGUUUGGUCCUGUUCACUUUACAUGUACUAGAUGUCGUGUUCUAUCUUAGAGAUGCACUGACACAACAACACAGUGGAUUAAGUCAAGCAAACCAUUUAAAAAAACAUAUUGAUUAAUUAAGGGACAAACUAAGACCUGAAAGUUGGACGCUAAAAGCGCUGAAAUAAAACUGUGGUGGCAUGAACUUCAUAGCUUACUUCAUGGUUCUUUUACUCUUUUUCUUACCUUUGAGCAGCCUGAGCUGCGAGUCGACUCCUCCACAGAGCUCAUCAUCACACUGGGCAGAUCUAUGGAGAAAGCAUCAUGAGAUGCACCAGAAGGUAAAGAGGUCCAAGUAAAAAAUAGUGGUGACGACCAAGGCCAUCUCUGAUUUAAAUCUGCUGCGUAUUUAAAUAAACCCUUGGUUUGGUGAGCUGGGACGCAUGCCAAGAUAAAUGCAGCAUCUCUGAUUCAAAUCUGGAAAAGGUCACAAGCACACGUUCCUGACUUAGUUCCACAGGGCUGUCUAAUAAGUGGAAAAUAGUACAUUUCUUUUAAUACCCUGGUGAGCAAUCACUCUGUACUGUGAGCCGUCAAACAAUGACUCACUUGUCGUUGUGAAACCGAGGCGUUAUGAGGCAGCUGAAAAGGAUAAGUCAAUGGGUUUUUUUAAUAGUCCCUUGUUGGAGCCUCCCACACAACAGUGGUUGAGGAGUUCAGCUGGGCCUGGAUUGAAAUAUUGUCCCUUGCCGGCUCCAAUGUGUCUAGAAAAAUAAUGACCAUGUUGUUUGUUUUUAACAGAAGGAAUCUCCCACAGCUGAUACGACUUGUAAUCUCCAUCCUAGUCUGAGUGCCUUUAUGGCACAUUUAGGCAAGCCAUGCUGCUUGCCUAAAUGAAGCAUCAUCGUAGGCCGAGAUUCUGCUAAAAGACACAGACUAGAGCUUGUGGGUGUAGGACAAAGCCGUGUGUGCAGACCCCGAUGACUAAAACCCUAUUUUUGUGAAGUUAGCAGAGGUGGCCUAAUUAGCAUGCCAGAUGGGAGCAGAGUGGUGGGGUGCGACUGUUUUCUCACACUUUUAUUGCGUCUUCAAAGGGCGCUACGUCAUGGAGCACAGUCUUGGGCUCAUCUUACCGGUUUUGCCAGAUCACUUUAAAUUGGAUAAAUGGCAUCCGUCAUUUAAGUUUUAAACCCUGUAGAAGUCACGAGGGAGAGUUGGUAAAAGUUGAGACUCAAAUGGCUUCUGAAGCCAUUGUAAAGCCAGCGCAUGACCUGCAGAAAAAGUUGAAUUCUGAAUAUUCAACAAAGCCACCCCAAUAAACCCAGGCUAUCCUUUUUCCCAGCCUCAGGAAGUGUGUGCGUGGUGUUUGUGUAAUUAACGUCUUAACGUCUUUCAGCACACCCUGACCCUUCACUUCUGAAAACAGAUGCUUCACCUGGAUAGGUUUAAUGCCUUCAGACGUUAUAAUUAUACCUGUGCUUUGGUGAAGCAGUCGCUGCCAUCGGACAGAGACGGUAACAGCUGCGAGGACAAACACGGUCGUCGAUCUGCAUGAAUUUACCACCGAGUAGCACUCCGAUGCUCUUCCGGGUUUCCAGCCAUGUGCCGGAUGUGAUUAACACAACACUGCGACGACCCUUCCUGCUCGGCCGGCAGCGGUCCCUUCCUGCCACGUGGGGAAAAACUUGAAGACGACUUAAUACUUACAUCUCUGCUGGGCCGGCUGGGGGGGGAAGCCUUUCUCUCGGUCGUGGGAGAAGCUGCGGCUGCUGGUGUUCGAUCUGGAGCGGACAGGUGCAGGCGGACGGGCUGCCCUCCUCCGCCGUUUGACUGCUACUGGCGGAGGACUGUGACUGCCGUCACAAGGAUAAACGUUUAGAAGGCCCUAUCCUUAGAGCUCAAAUCAGACCCCUGAUCUCAAGCCCUGCUUGGUUCUGUGAGGCACUGACCUCCGAGGAAGGCCCGACACUUGACCGCAGCUUUGGAAAUGAGGGCCGCUUCCGCCGCUGUUUCUAAAGGAAGUGCAGAAAGAAAAAUGCAGGCAUGAAAAAUACAAAAUGCUAAAUGGCUCUGCAGCCUGGUGACAACUGUUUGGUAAAGAAAGGUCAUGGCAAUAAAUGGGAUAUAGAAACAGAAUACCCCAGGGACGUAUAUUUAGUCUCAGUGAGGCCCUGAUCAAUUUGUUGAAUUAAGUUUCUUUUCACCUUGAAACAUGAAACAGUUGGACCAGCACUGGUCUUCUUUCACUAUAUUUGUCUUCAAAUGUAGGCGGAGUCGGGAUUAAAUAUGAAGCUGAAGUUACAAAGCACUCUAAGCACUAAUGCAAUGAUAGUCGAGCACAAAACACUGAAAGGUCAUUGUGUGUUCAGUCCAGGCCAACCUUGCACACUUAAAAACUGUUGGGUUAAAAAUAACCCAAUUUGGGUUGUUUUAUAACUCAACCGCUGGGUCACUAUUGCACCAGCCCAGCAGUAGUUAACUUGACCCAGCACGAUGGGUUGGUCCAUUUCAACCCAACAGAUGAGUUAAAUAUUCUACCCAAAUGCAGAGUCAAAUUAACUACAAUUCUGGGUUAUUUCUGCUACAUACAUUGGUUAUAUAAUCUACCCAAAUGCAGAGUCAAAAUAACGACAAACCUGUAACAAAAUACAUGCUAUAUUUGAUCAUGCAAAGCACAUAUCAUGUAAUUAACACUUAAAAAUAUUGGAAUUCUAAAAUUAAUAUAUCAUAAAAUAUCCACAAUAUAAAAUGAAUUGUAAGUUUAAAUCACGAUCAAUAAAAUAGGGCUGCAACUAACGAUUAUUUUCAUUCAUAUUGAUUAAUCUGUCAAUUAUGUAAAAUAUUAAAUCAAUUAGUUCUUUGGUCAAUAAAAUGUCAAAAUAUUUUUGAAAAACCCACAAGAUGACAUCCUCAAAUCUCUUGUUUUGUCCACAAGCCAAAGAGACACAGUUUAUUGUAAUAAAGGAUUAAGAAAUCAUGCGUGCCAGCAUGCAUGGAUACAUAUCCACAUACAUACCUACACAUGUGCAAACAGUUACUGGACCAAAAACAAGUCUGAGCUAUAACUCACCUGUUUACAUAAACAUAACAACAAACACUUAACAGGUGUCCAUUUUUCAUAACCAGCUAGCUAACGGCGCUACAGUCGCGCUUUCACCCAAAAAGAAUGUCAAAUAAUAAAUUAUAGUGACCGCUCUUACUUUCUACUCAAGG